UAACUCUUAUUAGCGUGCACUUUAAGACAAUCAUGAAGUGACUUGAUGUAUCUUGGAACUAGAACAGGGUGAAAUCUACUCCAAAGAAAGAGCUUACCAUGACAUGCAUUGAACAAGCUUUACGUUUCUAAGUUAUUAUUAUUUACACUUUCUUAUUUCAGCAUAUUCAAACUAUUUAAUUAGUUUAUUUAUGUGACAAUAAACAAAAACUUUUCCAAUAUUUUGUUAUCACCCAACUCCCACAACAACUUAUGAAAAGAGGCCAAGCCCAUUUUAAAUGGGUCACAAUUAUGGUAUGUUGUACCAGCAUAAAUCGGGCGGUAUGGAGUGUACCGUACCGUACUGAUUCGGUACCGGUACUCGGUAUGAGUGGCGUACCGACACUCGGUACACGAAAAAACUCCGUACCGUACCAUACUGACAUUGUGCUAAUGUGGCACUGGUACGGAGUUCGGUACCGAGAUGGCGAACCUUGGUUUCCAUCAUAAUUUUCUAUUUUGCCUGACAAAUCUACCUAGGUGAUCAUGGUAACUUCUGUUCAAGCAUCUACAUAACCACCCACACAACAACCUACCAUUGUUCUCACCUAGCUUCCAGAAGGACU
rnacentral:lncRNA from 1 species